AAACACUGUUUCAAAACUUAAAGAAAAAGGGAAUGAAAACCACACCGAUGCAUUGAAUGAUGCCAAAAGAUCACACAACUACUUAUUAAUACUUUUUGCUGCAACAGGCAAUAUUAAUUUAGUUGUAGGAGUCUUGGUUCUCCAAGAGGUAGUUCUCAAUCAACUUGAAGAGGUGGGAGGCCUUCUCUUUGCCAGCCUUAACAUGCUCUUCCUUGAUCUCAACGUCACAUUUUGUGUGGUAGUGGUUGAUGCUCUUGAUGACAGAACCGCUGCCUGAAGCCACCAACUUGGUCUCAUAAGAGAUCUUCUCAAUUGUCUCAGUGAUAGCAUCUCCUUCGAUCACACUGUACUUGUAGACAAAGUUGUCCUUGUCAACCCCAUCAAUUCUGUGCUUCACGUAGUUGUAUGUGCUACCUUCACCGAAGUUGAUCUUCUUAAUGGUUCCAACUCUGCCAUCUCCUUCAAGGAUCUCAGUGCUCUUCACUGCCUGUGGUGCAAUCUUGGGGAUGAGGUUGUCAGCAUCAAGAACAAAAGCAUUGUACAACCUAGCAGGGGGGAUGACGGAGGUGAACUCGAAUUCGUAUGUGAAAACACCCAUGAUUCUGAGAAGUGUUUGGAAAGUAAGAAAAUAGAAAUUGAUGAGGAGGAAGAUGAUGUAAUGGGAGGUUUUGAGUUGUGAAGAAGUGAGGGAGGAGGUAUGUAUUUAUAGGGUGAGGCCGAAGGUUGAUCAUAAGGUUUUAUUAUGCAAGUUCCUGCUUGGUUCUAUUCAUUUACGUGGGAACCAUUACUUUUUCUACGUGGAUUUUUGUAUUUUAGUAAAGAGGAAGGGAAGGACCAUCUGGAUAUUGAAUAAGAAAAUACCCAAUUAAUCACGAGGUCGACUGUAACCUCAGUUAUGUUCCAUAUAUAACAUGGGUUUGUACUAUGAGAUUCCAUUUGAUGAUAAACAAUAGUAUGAGAACAAGCAUGAACCAUGCAUGUGGGACUUCUAAUAAUUCAAUUUUCGUUGUCUACUACUAUAUAGUUGACAUUUUUGAGUCAUUUUUCAUUUGGCUGUGUGCUUAAAUAGGUUAACAGGGACGAGGACUGUGCGUUGGGAUAACAGCAUAAAUAAUACUUGUUACAGUUGAAAUUAUUUUGAGCAAUUUCGAUUUGGAGAGGUGAAAGCCUAAAGGAAAACGGUGGCCAAUCAAUGUUGAUAAAUUGCAACUAGCCAAUGCUGAAAUGCAAGUCAAGUCGCCCUAAUUUGAACGUCUGGAGUUUGACCAAAAAAAAAAAUUUGAACUUCUAGAAGUGCAUACUAUUUGUAAGAUACGUAAUAAUAUUAACUAAUUAACCUCCGUAAAAUUUAUUGGAAAAUCUAAACAACUUGGUUCAUUUUUUAUGUUAAGAGUGUUUUUGAUAUGGUUUGUAUUAUGGUUUUCUAGUCGGAUAAGAAUUAUGAUUACUUUCCCAUCUUUAAUAAAGGUUUAAGAUUGCUUUAUUAUUUCUUUUAGUAUAUUAAGUCUUUAUAAGUACAUCUCUUGUCGCCUUGGAGGUAUCAAGUCUUAGCAAGACUAAUGUUUUCGUUAUGUAGCAUGCUUGUCAAUUUGGAGUAUUUUUCUUUCUUGUAAGUCUAUGGAAUAAUAUUUAUUUUUCAAUAAUUUUUUUUCGUCCUUCAAUUUGUAAAAUAAAUUUCCAAUUGUAUUGCCAUUCCUUUAUGUAAUGCAUGCACCUAUUGUUUAAGAGCCAAUCUUGUCUAAUCAUUUUCCACUAUAAAAAAUAUAUAUAUCAACAGCUAAUUACAUGUGUGAAGCUUACAAUGUUGCGAUUACUAUUGUUGAAGGUAAAAGAAUUAUCACUUAAGUCUUGUGUAGUAUAAAGGAUUGGGUUGCAAUGUAUAAACCACUAUUGUCAAGGUAUGUUGAAGGAAUAAAUGAAAAUUUUGUAGCAAACUUGGAGUAUGAGAUGAAUUACUGAAAAGAAAACUUAUCUAUUUUAAUCCUCCUCAAAAUGGUAUACAAAGGAGAAGUUUUUUCCACUUCUAACCUCCUUAUCCCCUUAAAAGAAAAAAUCAUUAUUCUUUACCUUUAUUGUACCUUAAAUUUGCUAGUUAGUGAGUAUAUUUGGCAGAACUUUACCGAGGACGAUUCAAAAAGAGUCCCUUAAAUUAACAGAGUACAUAGGUAGCUGAGAGCAAGGAUUCUUAUUCAAAUAUAUAUGAUAUAUACUUAUUUUUGAAACUAAUGAGACCACACCGAUACAUUUAUUAGUCUAAGAAUAUAAAGGUAGCUGAGAGCAAGGAUUCUUAUUCAAAUAUAAGGGAUUGGGUCAACUCAUGCAAAAAGACCAUGGCAUAUGUAUAUUUAUUAGUUUACAAAUUUAAUCUUUUUAACAUUACUCUUAUUCAUUAGUAAUUGGGUCAACUCAUGGAGAAAGACUAUGGCAUAUGUAUAUUCAUUUGUCAUAUCAUGAUAACUAUAAAUGUUAAAUAUGUGUGGUCAACUCGUGUAGUUAGAAAAUAUGAUGCUUUAAAUUGAGGGAACUUUAACGAAAAGUUUCUGGUACUGUUUACUUUAACGAAAAACCACAUUUUUACACUAAAAAGUCAAUCAUGGUACUGUUCACUUUACCCUUUAUGUUGUUCUUAUUGUUAAAACUCAAAGUUUUCAAGCCAUUUUAAUUGGUUUUCCUUUAAAUUGAUCGCAUAUUAGGUGGUAGAUAAGAUUCAUUUGUUUUGUUUUGUUAAAUUAGUUAGGCUUUUUAUCCAAAAUGGCCUCUGAGAAUUGCAUAACACAUCACUUUGGUCCCCUAAGAUUCAAAAUCAAUAGAAAUGGUCCCUGAGAUUGUCUACCAUCCAUUAUUUUGGUCAUUCCAUUAAAAACUCCGUUAAGUGUCCCGGAACUCUUGGCUGGAAAUUUGGGCAAUUUUCAAAGUUUCGUAAACCAAUCGUUUCACAACCAAAUUCAACCGAUAAUAUAUCAAAAACAAAAAUCAUACUUCUCAACGAGAUGAAGAUAAUGGAAUGGUAUCUUUCUUGAAGGCUAAAUUUUCGUGGUUUGGCCGGAACAUAGCUUAAAAGUGGCUAACUCGACAACCAAGACAGCCACUUUUGAGCAUUUUUUCGGCCAAACCACGGUGUGAUAGCCUUCACAAAAGGUACCAUUCUCUUCGUCUCAUCGAGAAGUAUGAUGUUUGUUAAGUAUUGAAGAAGUUAUGAACGCUUAAAUUUUACCCAGUUUCAGGUAAGUUUUCCAGUUUUCCGGCAGACCAGUCACCUUUUAGGCUAUUUUUCGGCCAUCUCCAGCAGCCAUUGCGCUUCCAAAUAGGUAUAAUCUUGUUCUACACUUUCCUAUCUUCAUUUUGAUAUAUUAUGGGUUGAAUUUGGUUAAGAACCAAUUGAGUUACGAAGCUUUGAAAAUUGCCCAAACUUCCAGCCAAGAGCUCCGGGACACUUAAUAGAGUUUUUAACAGAAGGACCAAAAUAAUGGAUUGUGAACAAUCUCAGGGACCAUUUCUAUUGAUUUUCAAUCUCAGGAACCAAAGUGAUGUGUUAUGCAAAUCUCAGGAACCAUUUUAGCUUAAAAACCAAUUAGUUAUCAUGUGAUUUUUUGGUGUGAUUGACAUGACAUGUCACAUGGAAUAAUAGAAGUCAAGUUAGAAAAAUGAAAAUUGAAAAAGAAAUUUAAAAAUAUAUCAUCAAAUAUGAAUUCUUCUUAUUUAUUUGUAAAUGAAAGGAAACACAAUAUUCACUCCCCUCAAAAGCUCCAAUUACAAGCCAAAACACUGUUUCAAAAUUUAAAGAAAAAGCGAAUGAAAAUCACACCGAUGCAUUGUGUGAUGCCAAAAGAGGACACAACUACUUAAUAAUACUUUUUUCGGUAGCAGACAACAUUAAUUUAGUUGUAGGCAUCCUGGUGCUCUAAGAGGUAGUUCUCAAUCAACUUGAAGAGGUGGGAGGCCUUCUCUUUGCCAGCCUUAACAUGCUCUUCCUUGAUCUCAACGUCACCUUUUGUGUGGUAGUGGCUGAUGCUCUUGAUGACAGAACCGCUGCCGUAAGCCACCAACUUGGUCUCAUAAGAGAUCUUCUCAAUUG
rnacentral:lncRNA from 1 species